CUAUGCGCAUCCCUCACAUAAACUCCUUUGUCGCCCAAAUUUUCAGGAUGCGAAAGCAUUGUUCUGGAACUCAGAAGACUUGGAUUUCAGGCACAGUUCCUUGUGGCCAGGAGACCUUGAAGAAGACACUGUCCUUCGAGAGCCAUCGAACUCAAAGUUGUUGCUCUGCUCCAGAUUUCACGGGGAGAUUCAGUUCAUUUCAGCGAGCGCAAUUAGGUGACUCCCAGGGGUUAAGUGCUGAUGUGUGGAUGUGCAGAUGCAAGAGGACAGCUCAACCUUCCAGUCCCCCAGACAGCAAUUCUCCAUCACAGCUUUGCCGUCUCUGGUCUGGAUCCCCUCCUCUGUGUGACUGCAGCCUCCAUCCUGGCCCAGGCCCCCAUCACCUCUCCUUUGGACACCGGCAAUUCCUCUUCCUUCCUGGUCUCCCCGUGUGCCGUCUCUCCUCUCGCCCUAACCAACACCCUGAGAGCUCCGGCCCCCUCAAGUCUCUCCUCUGCUCUGCAAGCUUGUGUGACGGCUUCCUAUCACCUCCAGGAUCCGAUCCGAAGGGCAUUUCAAGCCUUUCGUUACCUGGUUCCAGCCUAUUCCAGGCUGGUUACUCUUCCCGCCCCCUACCCCGGCACUUUGCACCCUGGACCAGCUGACCUUCUUGCUGUCCGUUAUCUGUGGCUCCCAGAUCUUUGUCCCAUCUGUCUUCAAUGCCAGGACCCUGAACUCCCUUCAAAGCUCAGCCCAAGUGCCGCCUCUCCAAUUUCAUUCCCGUCUCCUUACUGCCCCCCUCCAAUUUCCAGCCAAAAUCACUGUAUUUAUUUUGUAACUUGUACAUAAUCUCCUUGAAGCUAGAGAUGUUUCCUUCCCUCUGCUCGUAUCCUUUGAACCUAGUCCAGUCCCUGGGACAGAGUAUUCACUUAACAAAUGUUUGCUGAUUGACUAUUCGGUUGAUUCCCUUUCCUUGGCUCCUCAUAGAUAGAGGCUGGUAAAGUGGGAGACUGCCUUCGAAUCUUUUCUCUAACGCUAGUUGUGUGAUCACGAGUCAAGUCACAGCCCA
rnacentral:lncRNA from 1 species